AGUGAACGCUGGCGGUAGGCCUAACACAUGCAAGUCGAACGGCAGCACAGUAAGAGCUUGCUCUUACGGGUGGCGAGUGGCGGACGGGUGAGGAAUACAUCGGUAUCUACUUUUUCGUGGGGGAUAACGUAGGGAAACUUACGCUAAUACCGCAUACGACCUACGGGUGAAAGCAGGGGAUCUUCGGACCUUGCGCGAUUGAAUGAGCCGAUGUCGGAUUAGCUAGUUGGCGGGGUAAAGGCCCACCAAGGCGACGAUCCGUAGCUGGUCUGAGAGGAUGAUCAGCCGCACUGGAACUGAGACACGGUCCAGACUCCUACGGGAGGCAGCAGUGGGGAAUAUUGGACAAUGGGCGCAAGCCUGAUCCAGCCAUACCGCGUGGGUGAAGAAGGCCUUCGGGUUGUAAAGCCCUUUUGUUGGGAAAGAAAAGCAGCAGGUUAAUACCCCGCUGUUCUGACGGUACCCAAAGAAUAAGCACCGGCUAACUUCGUG
rnacentral:rRNA from 1 species